GACGAACGCUGGCGGCGUGCUUAACACAUGCAAGUCGAACAGAAAGGCCCUGCUUUUGUGGGGUGCUCGAGUGGCGAACGGGUGAGUAACACGUGAGUAACCUGCCCUUGACUUUGGGAUAACUUCAGGAAACUGGGGCUAAUACCGGAUAGGAGCUCCUGCUGCAUGGUGGGGGUUGGAAAGUUUCGGCGGUUGGGGAUGGACUCGCGGCUUAUCAGCUUGUUGGUGGGGUAGUGGCUUACCAAGGCUUUGACGGGUAGCCGGCCUGAGAGGGUGACCGGCCACAUUGGGACUGAGAUACGGCCCAGACUCCUACGGGAGGCAGCAGUGGGGAAUAUUGCACAAUGUGCGGAAGCCUGAUGCAGCAACGCCGCGUGCGGGAUGACGGCCUUCGGGUUGUAAACCGCUUUCGCCUGUGACGAAGCGUGAGUGACGGUAAUGGGUAAAGAAGCACCGGCUAACUACGUG
rnacentral:rRNA from 1 species